CCCCUCGUAGCUCAAAGGAUAGAGCAGCGCUCUUCUAAGGCGUUUAUGGGGGUUCGAUUCCUCCCGAGGGGA
rnacentral:tRNA from 1 species